ACUGUUUGGAAUGCGAAGUCUUCCCUCUUAAAGAAGUCAAGGAAACUUAUUUUAUGCUAUUUGCAGUCUUUAAUAAUUGAGUAAGGCAGAGUCCUGUGAAGAAAAUUUGGAGCAUGUUUGUUUCUCUCUGCCUGUUUCCUCUAGAAUUUGGAAACUAUCUCCAUCAAAGAUUUCUGAAGCUUAUUUGGCCUUGUCUAGAACAUGCUGCCAUGUAUGACUGCCCCAAGUGACAGGAGAAAGCCAAAAACAAGACCCAGCAAUGGAAGUUUUAGCAGGAUUCCAGCUGUCAGAAUUAACCAUGAGCCAACUCCUAUAGAAUAACCAUCCAAUUGUAUCCUCCAUGCUUAGCCUGUUUGUCCAAGUAAAUUGCAGACUUAUCCAGAACA
rnacentral:lncRNA from 1 species